CGGCCGCGUCGACGGCUUAGUGCCGCAGCGUAACGCAUUAAGCACUCCGCCUGGGGAGUACGACCGCAAGGUUGAAACUCAAAGGAAUUGACGGGGGCCCGCACAAGCGGUGGAGCAUGUGGUUUAAUUCGAAGCAACGCGAAGAACCUUACCAGGUCUUGACAUCCCAGUGACCGCUCUAGAGAUAGAGUUUUUCUUCGGAACACUGGUGACAGGUGGUGCAUGGUUGUCGUCAGCUCGUGUCGUGAGAUGUUGGGUUAAGUCCCGCAACGAGCGCAACCCUUAUUGUUAGUUGCCAUCAUUCAGUUGGGCACUCUAGCGAGACUGCCGGUAAUAAACCGGAGGAAGGUGGGGAUGACGUCAAAUCAUCAUGCCCCUUAUGACCUGGGCUACACACGUGCUACAAUGGUUGGUACAACGAGUCGCAAGUCGGUGACGGCAAGCAAAUCUCUUAAAGCCAAUCUCAGUUCGGAUUGUAGGCUGCAACUCGCCUACAUGAAGUCGGAAUCGCUAGUAAUCGCGGAUCCG
rnacentral:rRNA from 1 species